UUCUUUCUUUGGUGACAGUCUUUUUACUUUUUAGGACAGUUUUACAUAUACAGGAAAACCAUGAAAAUGAAUCAGAGAGUUCCAAUAUAUUCAGUUUCCUGAUAGUUAGCAUCUUAUAUUAGUAUGGUACAAUUGCUGUAAUGAAUGAAAGAAAUAUUGAUACAUUAGCAUUAAAUUAGAUGUUUUAUUCAUAUUAUCUUAGUAUUUGCAUAAUUUUUUUUCUUUUCCAGGAUCCCAUCUAGAAUACCAUAAUAUAUUAUAUUUAGUUGUCAAGUCUCCUUAGGUUUGUCUUGGCUAUGACAGUCUCAAGAUGUAUUUGUUUUGAUGAUCUUGAAGGUAGUGUUGGAUAUUGUGAAGAAUAUCUCUCAACUGGAUUGUCUGAUGUUUUCCCUACGAUUAGACUGAGAUUACCAGUUUUGGGGAGAAAGAUCACAAAGGAAAUUGAAAGACGAUGCAAGAAGUGUCUUCAGGUUUCCACAGAAAUGGAAUUAAAUGAGAAACAUGUGGCACUUUCUGAUGGAUACAGAUCAUCCUGAAAUCACUUCACAUCUGCUGGCUAAAUAGAGAAAUAACUAUAAAUCUUUUCAAAAACAAAGGAGAGAAAAAUGUAGGAAAUACAUCAAGCAAUACUUUUAUGGCACCAUUAGUAUGACUCUAUAAAGAAGGUUAUUUAUAAUGGUGGAAUUGUUUGUCACACAGCAUAUGAAAAAAGGAAAUUCAAAUUAUAUAGAUGGGUUACAGUGUUAAACAUGAUCUUGUAAACUCUAGAUAUGUCACCUUCCUAGAUGCAAACCUUAUUUUUAAUUUUUAGCAAUAUUUUAACAAAUUAGAGAUGUAUGCAUAUUCAGCAUGGUUUAAAUUCAGAUCAUUCGGAUAUUUUUCAAACAAUCCUCAGUAGAAAUUUAAACAAGUUUAUCUUGUUCUCAUACAUGUGUUUAUGCACAAAGGGUUAUUUUGAAGUAUUGUUAAUGGUGAAUAAAUGUAUGCUAUGGAAUAAAUUCUUUACAACUGUGGAACUACUUCAUGAAAAAUGUGUAUAAAGCACACAGAAUUCAGACUUCUUCCUUCCAAAAAUAAAGUUUCUGGUUCAUACUUCUCCCCAUCAUGCUCCAUUUCCAAUUAUGCACCAUUGAACUAUUCACAUGCAAUUAUAUAAGAAUGUUUAUGUUUAAGCUUAGCAACAAUAAAUUUUUCAUCACUUCAAGAAAUAAUAUAUGUAUCCAUGAGUGUUAAAAAGACAAUAUUUUAUCAAUCUAUAACUAGUCUCAUGUUUCAAGUGCAAAGGCAAACUAUAUUAUCACAAUAUAAAUAUUUUCAUGUGAAAAUAUAAGAAUAAAGUCUCAUGCAUAUUCAUGUAAAACAAAAAAAGUAUAUGGCUACAAAAUGUCCUGUGUUGGCAAUAUUUUCAUCAUAAUCAGCAUUCCUGUUUCUCUUAACCAAUCUUCUAUCAUUGAUAGAAAAGAACUAUCAAUAUUUUAAUAAGAUUAAGUUAGAAAGGAAAGUAUAACAGUGCUUAUUUUAUUCCACUCAGACUCCACUACAGACCUGGAUGUGGUCGUGCCUGUGGAGGCAGAAGGGCUGUGGGGAGUUUUCAUUCAGCAGCCUAGUCUGGUAAGCUAAUGAAUACAAAUUUGACUCUUUGCUCUCUCCUUCAUGUCUUCAUAUACUUCCCCAGUGGUAUCAGCUGCAAAAAAAUGAAGACUGAAUCAGACUGAGACGUAAGCAAGGAUUGCACUCUGAGUUAGGCAGCUGUCAAAAAUAAUGUGAUUCCUUAUGUAAUAUUAGAGAAUAGGUAGAGAUACAUACAUAGUUGUAUUUUAUUAUUUGAUUUGACCAUUAAAGUACAGUUCUGUCUGCCAUACAUUUUUCCAUACUGGAGAGUAACCUCUAUUAAAUAUUAGGUUCUAAAUUCUGCCUGCUAUGAAUUUUCAACCAAAGAAAAGAAAGCCAUUUCAAUAAACUGCUAUACAAGAUACUAAAAUUUAAUGAUAUAAUUUAAGUGUUAUAAUUUUUUGAAAGGACAUUAGAGGUCAGAGUUAAACGUCUUCAUUUGCAGAUGCAGAGGCAGUUGAACAAUACAUUUUAACGGCUUGUUCAAGGUAAUUUUUAGCUUUCAUUGGACAUAAAUUGCGUGUUUUAUUUAGGUUCAAAAUUCUUGUAUGUCUAAUGGUGCUUCUCAAAAAUUUUCCAUUACAAUAUAAGAUGAUGCCUGUAUUGAGUGGGGAAUAUAUAACGGGGAAGUCAUUCUACCCCCACGAAGAAAUAACAGAGUGGUAAUUAGGAGAUGUAACUGAAAGAUGAAUCUAGUUCAGAAAUCCCCCCAUCCCUCCUCACAGUUCAGAAUAAAGGAACUUUCUGUGAGAAUUUUGUUCUAAACUAGGGUUUUAACUGUGACAUGUUAAUUUGCAACAUGUUAAUUUGAGGCAUGUUAAUUUAGGGUGCUGUAAAAGAGAGAGAGAGUAGAAAGAGAGAGGGAAAGGAAGAGAGAGAAAGAGAGAGAGAUAGGGAGGGAAAUAGCUUGUAAAUGAAGGGGCAGAUAAAGGGACAGAAGUACAAUUGCAAGCUGACUAGGCAUGACUUUCUACGCAAUGCAAUUGGCACUGCAGCAUCAACUUCCUCCUGCCUGCCUCAUUCAACAGUGCACAGGUUCACUGCCUGUCCAUUUCAUAGUAAGAAGAGAAAUAGAGGACAUUUAGUUUUUUGGUUAAGUCUUGAUGAU
rnacentral:lncRNA from 1 species